AAUGCAGAAAAUGUUGCCUCAAGGAGUUAUCACAUAAGUUCUGUAACCAUUUUUCUCUACUUCUCUCCCUCUGUUCUUCUGUCUUGGUUACUUGAUCUCCACUGCUCCACACCAUGGUCAAGUCUUUCAAGAGUUCAGGAUAUCAACUUGUCCUCUUUUUGGUUCUGUUUUCUCAUCCUUAUGCUAGCUCAAUCUAUUUCAAACUACCUCGUUUUGAACCGAAUGCAGGCAACAUUCUCUAUCAGGGAGAUGCAGCACCUUCUAUUGGAGCAAUAGAACUAAUUAACACGCGUACUUUUGUAUGCCGGGUUGGCAUGGCCAGCUAUGCUCAAAGAGUAGCGCUCUGGGACUCUGUUACAGGAAAGCUCACCGACUUCACGACUCGCUUCUCAUUCAUCAUUAACACAGUAGAUAACACUACUUAUGGCCAUGGAAUUGCAUUCUUUCUCGCUCCUGUUGGGUUUCAAAUCCCACCAAAUUCAGUUGGUGGCUUCCUAGGCUUGUUGAACACAACAACCAGUGACUCCUCCGGCAACAGGAUUGUUCUAGUUGAGUUUGACUCCUUUGUAAACCCUGAAUGGGAUCCUGGUUAUCAGCAUGUGGGGAUUAACAACAACUCAAUUUCUUCUUCUGUCACAACCCGUUGGAAUGCUAGUUUACACAGUGGAGACACUACGGAUGUACAGAUUGCCUACAAUGCAACAACUCAAAAUAUGAGUGUUCACUGGAGCUACCAAACUACAUCGACUCCCAGAGAGAACACCAGUCUUCAUUACCAGAUUGAUCUCAAAAAAAUUCUGCCUGAGUGGGUCACAAUUGGAUUUUCAGCUUCUACUAGUCAGUUUGGGGAGCGGAACAGGGUUGUUUCAUGGGAGUUCAGUUCAACUUUGGAUAGAAAAGAAACUACUGGAAAGCACUCAAAGAAGAAAAAGCUCGUGGUUGGCUUAACAGUUUCGGGUGGUCUGAUGGCUGCGAUAAUUGUAGUGUUGCUUGUGGUGUGGCAGAGGAUGAAGCAAAAGAAAACGCAAACUCCAGAGACAGAGAACUUAAAAUCGAUGAAUGAAGACCUCGAGAGAGGAGCAGGACCGAGACGAUUCUCAUAUACAGAUCUUGCUACAGCAACUAACAAUUUCUCUAAUGAGAGGAAGUUGGGGGAAGGGGGUUUGGUGCUGUUUACAGGGGCUACUUAGCUGAUUUAGAUACUAUAGUAGCGGUGAAGAAAAUCUCAAGUGGGUCUCGGCAGGGAAGAAAGGAGUACAGAACUGAGGUACAGAUUAUAAGCAGUUUGAGACACCGAAAUCUAGUGCAACUCAUAGGAUGGUGCCAUGAUGGAGGACAAUUCCUACUCGUGUACGAGUACAUGCCAAAUGGUAGCCUUGAUGCUCAUCUAUUUGGGAAGAGUAGGUCUGCUCUGUCCUGGGCCGUGAGGUACAAGAUAUCUCUGGGGUUGGGGUCUGCACUGCUUUAUCUUCAUGAAGAGUGGGAGCAAUGUGUUGUUCACCGGGAUAUUAAAUCAAGCAAUAUCAUGCUAGAUUCCAGCUUUAAUGUUAAACUUGGUGAUUUUGGGUUAGCUAGGUUGAUGGAUCAUGAGCUAGGUCCCCAAACAACUGGAGUGGUUGGGACGCUAGGUUACAUGGCUCCAGAAUAUUUCAGGACAGGUCGGGCUAGUAAAGAGUCGGAUGUCUAUAGCUUCGGGGUGGUCACCUUAGAAAUUGUCACCGGUAAAAGGUCAGUGGAUCGUAUGGGGGAGGAUUCAGAAAUGGGACUGAUAGAGUGGGUUUGGGACCUUUAUGGGAAAGGAAAUUUUCUUAUGGCAGUGGAUGAGAGACUGCACUCGGACUAUAACGAGAAGCAAGUAGAGUGUAUGAUAGUUGUAGGAUUGUGGUCUGUUCACCCUGAUAAAAGAUUAAGGCCCUCAAUAAGGCAAGCAGUUCACGUCUUGAACUUUGAUGCAGCAUUGCCAAAUCUUCCUACAAAUAUGCCUGUUCCUACAUAUCAGGUACCUACACCAUCCGUCAGCUCUGGUGAACCACUCAUUACUACAAGUCUUGAAGAAGGUCGUUGA